UACGUAGGGGGCAAGCGUUGUCCGGAUUUAUUGGGCGUAAAGAGCGUGUAGGCGGCCGGACAGGUCCGUUGUGAAAACUCGAGGCUCAACCUCGAGACGCCGAUGGAAACCGUUUGGCUAGAGUCCGGAAGAGGAGAGUGGAAUUCCUGGUGUAGCGGUGAAAUGCGCAGAUAUCAGGAAGAACACCCGUGGCUAAGGCGGCUCUCUAGUACGGUACUGACGCUGAGACGCGAAAGCGUGGGGAGCGAACAGG
rnacentral:rRNA from 1 species